UACAGAGGGUGCAAGCGUUAAUCGGAAUUACUGGGCGUAAAGCGUGUGUAGGUGGUUGAUUAAGUCAGAUGUGAAAGCCCCGGGCUUAACCUGGGGAUUGCAUCUGAUACUGGUUGACUAGAGUAUGGUAGAGGAUGGCGGAAUUUCCGGUGUAGCGGUGAAAUGCGUAGAUAUCGGAAGGAACACCAGUGGCGAAGGCGGCCGUCUGGGCCAAUACUGACACUGAGACACGAAAGCGUGGGUAGCAAACAGG
rnacentral:rRNA from 1 species